UUUCAAGCACAUGUUCUAAAUGUGCAGAGGAAGUGACUAAUACUUGGACUGAUAAAGACUAAGACCCGAUAAAAGUAGUAAUAACUUUUGGAUUAUCUAUUUUUUAAGUAGAGUGCAUGUGGACUUAUUAAGAAUGAGAGCUGAGAGAGUGGAGACUCCACAGGAGGUACACCCAGAUUAAUUAUUUUAAUAGGAUUUAUUUUUCCCAAAACUUGGGCGGCGGGGCCCGGUGAAUUCAAGGCCAGCUUGGUCUAUGUUUAGUAUUCCAGACCAGCUAGAGCUACUUAGUGAGACCCAGUCUCAAAGAACCAAAUGGGGGCUAGAGAAACGGAUCAGCAGAUAACAGCAUUGCCUGGUUUAUCCAAGGGCCCAUUUCUAGAACCAUGAUUGCUCACAGUCACAGGUGGUUGGAUAGACAGACCCCUGACCCUAGGGACCCAAAUGGUACAAUAUAUGCAUGCAGGCAAAAGCACUCAUGCAUAAAAUAAACCUAAGUAAAGAAAUUUAAACCCUAAUAAGUACAUUUUCAAUUUAUUCAUUUAUUUAGGGUAUCACUGACCAUCCUAAAACUCUGGCCUCAAACUCAGAGAUCUGCCUACCUCUUCCUACCCCCAACCUCCAAAUACCAGGAUUAAAGGCAUGUACUGCCAAUGUGUUUCUUCCCUUUUUUUUUUUUUUUUUUUUUUUUUUUUGUAAACAUGAUUAGCAUUUUCAUGUACCAUUCAUUAUGGGCUCUCAGUAAGUCUUUUUUACUUCUCAGGAAAUCUUUGUUUUUACUAGUAGUCAUUGUUUGUUGUUGGUUAUGAACAAUCUAAAGUAUAGAAGAAGUUAAUAACUUAAUGAAAAAUAGUGAGGCCUACAAACUGUUUCAUGUUAACCAACACAAACUCUUAAAAGUCAGCCUGCUCUACAAAGUGAGUUCCAGGACAGCCAGGGCUAUACAGAGAAACCCUGUCUUGAAAAACCAAAAGGAAAAAAAAAGUCAUCAAUUGCUUCAAAAGCCAUCAAGCCAGAUGACUUGCUUCAGGCCCUGGGAUCCACGUAGUGGAAGAGGAAUGGACUCCUGAAAUGGGUCUGUCCUCUGACCUAGACUUGGGCAUGUGCAUGUAGAACACCCACAGAGAAGAAGAACUAAAAUAGAACAUUGAAAAAGGUCUGAAGAAGAAAUCAGUGCUUCGGAAGUUCAGGUGUUUGCUUGAGACUCGCUUUGCUGUCUGGAUGCUGUUCACAUAAGUGAGACAGCUUAAGGAUUAUCCGAAAGAUUGAGUCUUCAUCUAUAAAUAUGCAGUUUAGCAUUCUCCAACAUGAAACCCUAACCAUGACUGCUAAGGCUAAGGACUGUCCAUCAUUGUGGGGCUUUGGAACAACAAAAACAUUUAAAAUUCCCAUCGAACAUUUGGAUUUCAAGUAUAUUGAAAACUGUUCAGAUGUGAAACACCUGGAAAAAAUUCUUUAUGUGCUGAGGUCUGGUGAAGAAGGCUACUAUCCUGAACUCACGGAAUUUUGCGAGAAGUGCCUCACCAACUUGGCUCCUAAAAGUCGAGCUCUGAGGAAGGACAAGCCUGCAGAGACAGCAUCCAGCUUUUCAGCGGAAGAGUGGGAAAAAAUCGACAGUGAUCUAAAGAGUUGGGUGUCAGAAAUCAAAAGAGAGGAAAAUACAUGUCACUUCCAUGACCCUGAAAACCAUCCCGGAGUGGAAGAUCCUCUGCCUCCUGUCCGCGGCUCCACCUGCUGCCCUCACAGUGGCAAGGAAACAUAUUCUAAAAGUAAGACAGCUAAGAAGAGGAUUCCAAGGGAUUAUGCAGAAUGGGAUAAAUUUGAUGUGGAAAAAGAAUGUUCAAAGAUUGAUGAGGAUUACAAAGAAAAGACUGUCAUAAACAACAAGGCUCAUCUGUCUAAAAUUGAGACAAAAAUAGAAACAGCAGGUCUGACUGAGAAGGAAAAGAGUUUUCUUGCCAAUCGUGAAAAGGGAAAAGGGAACGAGGCUUUCUACUCUGGGGACUAUGAAGAGGCCGUGAUGUAUUACACCAGGAGCUUAUCAGCCCUUCCCACCGCCAUUGCCUAUAACAAUCGAGCUCAGGCCGAAAUCAAGUUGCAGAGAUGGAGCAGUGCUCUUGAAGACUGUGAGAAGGCCUUGGAGCUAGAUCCCGGAAACGUAAAAGCUCUCCUGAGACGAGCCACUACAUAUAAACAUCAAAACAAGCUCCAGGAAGCUGUGGACGACCUGAGAAAGGUGCUGCAGGUGGAGCCGGACAACGACUUGGCCAAGAAGACCUUAUCAGAGGUUGAAAGAGAUCUGAAGAAUUCAGAGCCUGUCUCUGAGCUCCAAACCAAAGGGAAGAGGAUGGUUAUUGAAGAAGUUGAAAACUCGGGAGAUGAAGGUGGAAAGGGAAGCGCAGAUGAGCGUGAAGAUGGUGGCUCGGAUGAGGCGGCCAUGGGCAACAUUCAGAAGAAGCUGAUGGUCCGCCGGAGCGAGGGUGGCAGGCGGUCGCGGCGGGGCCGGACACCGGGGCCCCGAGCUGAGCAGCAGGGAGGCCUGCGAGAGACAGCGACGGCCAGCACCGGCGACAGUCACUACCCGGAGGAGCCGCGAGCCGCUGACAACCCCAGCGGCCUCAAGAGACGGGGCAACGAGCUGUUCCGCGGCGGGCAAUUCGCAGAGGCAGCCGCGCAAUACUCGGUGGCGAUAGCGCAGCUGGAACCCACAGGAAGUGCAAAUGCGGAUGAGCUAAGCAUCUUGUAUUCAAAUAGAGCGGCAUGCUACCUCAAAGAAGGGAACUGCAGGGACUGCAUCCAGGAUUGUAACAGGGCUCUGGAACUUCAUCCGUUCUCAGUGAAGCCUCUUCUGCGGCGAGCAAUGGCCUAUGAGACCUUAGAGCAAUACAGGAACGCAUAUGUGGACUAUAAAACAGUGCUGCAGAUAGAUUGUGGGAUCCAGCUGGCGAGCGACAGUGCUAACAGAAUAGCACGAAUCUUAACAGAGCUAGAUGGAUCAAAAUGGCGGGAGAGACUGCCACCCAUCCCAGCUGUACCCACAUCUGAGCCACUGCGAGUUUGGCUCCCUGCUGCAGAGACCCCAGACCAAGAUCCCUGUCCCAACAACUGCAUGCCGAGCAUCACAGAUGAAAAAAUGUUUCAAGCCCUCAAGGAAGAAGGAAAUCAACUUGUAAAGGACAAAAAUUAUAAAGAUGCCAUUAGUAAAUACAAUGAAUGCUUAAAGAUUAACAGCAAGGCAUGUGCCAUCUAUACAAACAGGCUCUGCUUUCUGAACCACGGACUUUCCUUCCUCAUUGGAGAAGCACCCUUGGCCUUCCUUUUUCAACCUAGAGUGUGCUCGCCUCUCAGUACCCUCAGAGUGACUGGCUUACCACCCCCAGCUCUCUGCACCCAAUACCUGCCUUAGACCACUGUUUUCUACUGCCUUCUCUUUCCCCUUGUCCCACUCUCCCAGUUGUAGCUAGAGUGAGCAUGUCACCCAAGGGAACAAGGCCCUUUGUGACCUGGCCUGGAUCCACCCUUCCAUUGCAGCCAGGCACUGCUUUUCCAGGUUCAUCAAGAACACCAUGCUCUGCCCUGGGAAGGCUAUGCCCAGGCUGUGUCCUUGGGCUCCCUCUGACCCUCUUCUCUCUCCCUUAACUCUAAGCCUUGGCAAGAUCAUUCUCCUUCAUACGCCAAUAUGCCUGCUUUUAACUUGACGAACUUACACCCCACAACGUCUCCUGGCUGCUCUGCCACUUGCUUUUCCCCACAAGGUCUUGGGCCUUGGCUGUGAGCUUCCAGACCCACUUUACAGAUAUCAUUAGAGAGGCUCAUUCAGUUCCCUGUCUCCACCCUGUUGCAUCUUGUUUUGGAUCAGGCUAUAUUUUGUUUGCAGUGGGCUCCCCAGUGAUGUAAUUUUAUCCCCUGUGAGAGUGAGCACUGUGGCUGGCUGCAGGUGUAAGUGCUAGUUGAAGCAGCUGUAGCUUAAGGCAGUCUUAGUGAGCUGUAGCUUAAGGCAGUCUUAGUGAGCUGUAGCUUAAGGCAGUCUUAGUGAGCUGUAGCUUAAGGCAGUCUUAGUGAGCUGUAGCUUAAGGCAGUCUUUCUUACUGAGCUGGGUUGAUCCUUACUAGCUACUUCUUCCUUUUAAAAAUAGAUUUAAAAAAAACUAUAGAAAUUAUUUUAGCUUUUUAAGAUUUUUUAACAUUUUUUUAUUAGAUGUUUUCUUCAUUUAGAUUUCAAAUGCUACCCCCUUUCCUAGUUUCCUCUCUGAAAAUCCCCUGUACCCUCCCUCUUCCCCCUGCUCCCCAACUCACACUCCAGCUUCCUGGCCCUGGCAUUCCCCAUACUGGGGCCUAGAAUCUUCGCAAGACCAAGGGGGCUCUCUUCCCAGUGAUGGCCAACUAGGUCAUCUUCUGCUACAUAUGCAGCUAGAGACACGAGCUCUGGGGCUACUGGUUGGUUCAUAUUGUUGUUAAUAACAAGAUUUUGCUGACAGGACCCUGAUAUAGGGUCCCCAGUGAAGGAGCUAGAGAAAGUACCCAAGGAGCUUUUUAAGAUUUUUAAUAGUGUGCAUGUUUGUGGGUGUGUAGACAUGUGCACAUAGGUGUGUGGGCAUGGGUGUGCAGGCCUGUGCACAUGGGUGUGCACGUGUGUGGGUGUGUGCACCUGGGUACAGAGGUGAGAAGCAGGUGUCAGAUCCCCUACAGCAGCCAGUUAUAAGCUACCCUAUGUGGACACUGGGAACUGAGCUCAGGUCCUCUGCAAGGGCCGCAAGUGCUUUUAAACACAGCUAACCUCCCCAGCCCCGCUAGCUGUCGAAAUACACUGAUCAGCUUCCUCUCCUUUCCUUGCAUUAUGUGUGCCAGGGCUCUCUGUUACCUGAAGCUGGGCCAGUUUGAAGAGGCAAAGCUGGACUGUGAGCAGGCGCUUCAGAUAGACGGCGAGAAUGUGAAAGCCAGCCACAGACUAGCGCUCGCCCAGAAAGGACUCGAGAACUGCCGGGAAAGCGGGGUGGACCCCAGUCAAGUCCUCCUAAGCCCAGAUUCCAGUGAAGCCGCCCGGCACCUGGACACUAAGAAUGACACAGCACCUCCCAGCAAAGGAAGGGAGAGGAGGAGAAUCCAAGUCCAAGAGGUGGAUGGCAGCAGUGAUGAGGAGCCUGAGAGACCUGCAGAGGCCUCUGCUACCUCCGCACCUGCCAGAGAUGGUGUGGAAGAUGGAGGGUCUGCAGAACCAGCAGAAAAACUCGACGUCUCCAAGCCUACUAAUGCCUAUGAGUUUGGACAGGUCCUAAGCACUAUCAGUGCCAGGAAAGAUGAAGAGGCCUGUGCACAUCUUUUAGCCAUCACUGCACCCAAAGACCUGCCACUGUUGCUAAGUAACAAACUUGAGGGGGACACGUUCCUCCUCCUCAUUCAGUCACUUAAAAGUCACCUUGUGGCUAAAGACCCCUCCCUGGUGUAUGAGCAUCUCCUGUAUCUGAGCAAAGCAGAGAGGUUUAAGACGAUGCUGACACUAAUUAACAAAGGCCAAAAGGAGCAGAUGGCGCAGCUGUUUGAUGGUCUGUCAGACACACAGUCCGACGGUUUGACGGCAGAGGAUGUACAGGCCCUAAGAAGGCAGUAUGAGCUUUAACUUGGGGUUGCUGAGUUCAAGACAGCAAACAUUGUGAUGCAGUUGCAUGGGUAAAGCCACACCCAGAAGGAUCCCUGUUUGGACAUCAGAUGUUGUACUUAUUUUUAUAUCUAGAACAUGUAUAUUCUAUAAUCUGAUUUUUAUUUAUUGUAAAUAUUCUCUUCUGUACUAGAGCCAACACCUUUAUAUUUAAUAACUAUAUUCAGAACUUGGCAAAUUAUACUCUAGCUUAUAAUACAUUUUCUUUUAAUGACCUACCCAUUAAAAAUUUAAAAUACAUUCUUUGUGGUGGCAGUUCUUUCAGGUUUGACAGCAAUCAGUGACUUUAGUCCUUUAAAAGCAAAUGUUAGCAGUUGCGACUCCAUCACUUUCUGUCCCACUCAAAUGCACAAAAUCCACUUUAGAGAAGUGGCUUACUGUCACUUGAGAUGAAAUUCAACACUUAAUGUCUAUGAGAUCAUUAUUAGUUUAUUAAUUUAGAGCCCUAAAGGAGUUACUUUUUCUAAUAUUUAGUGUGACUUUGUCUUCUACAUUGCUUGUAAGCAAUAAAACUGUAUGAAACAAAUUCACCCUGCUUUUGUAUUUGAAUUGUCCCCCACCCCAACUUUUUGUUUUCUGCUUUAUUUCUUUACUCUAACAAGUGGAAAAAGUCACUGGAUACUCCUUUUUCUGUGUUAAAGGUAUUUUCUACACAAUAAACAUUCAAGCCUUUAUUUACUGUGA